rnacentral:rRNA from 1 species
GACGGAGGAUGCAAGUGUUAUCCGGAAUCACUGGGCGUAAAGCGUCUGUAGGUGGUUUAAUAAGUCAACUGUUAAAUCUUGAGGCUCAACCUCAAAAAUCGCAGUCGAAACUAUUAGGCUAGAGUAUAGUAGGGAUAAAGGGAAUUUCCAGUGGAGCGGUGAAAUGCGUAGAGAUUGGAAAAGAACACCGAUGGCGAAGGCACUUUACUGGGCUAUUACUAACACUCAGAGACGAAAGCUAGGGUAGCAAAUGGG